UGGGGAAUACUGCACAAUGGGGGGAAACCCUGAUGCAGCGACGCCGCGUGGAGGAAGAAGGUCUUCGGAUUGUAAACUCCUGUUGUUGAGGAAGAUAAUGACGGUACUCAACAAGAAAGCACGGCUAACUACGUGCCAGCAGCCGCGGUAAAACGUAGGGUGCAAGCGUUGUCCGGAAUUACUGGGUGUAAAGGGAGCGCAGGCGGACCGGCAAGUUGGAAGUGAAAACCAUGGGCUCAACCCAUGAAUUGCUUUCAAAGCUGCUGGCCUUGAGUAGUGCAGAGGUAGGUGGAAUUCCCGGUGUAGCGGUGGAAUGCGUAGAUAUCGGGAGGAACACCAGUGGCGAAGGCGACCUACUGGGCACCAACUGACGCUGGGGCUCGAAAGCAUGGGUAGCAAACAGGAUUAGAUACCCUGGUAGU
rnacentral:rRNA from 1 species